AAUAAUGGGAGAUGAAUGAGCUACACCUACCUUCACUCAAAAAUCUCUCUCUCUCUCAUAUACACUGCAUAUACUUGAUUCAUCACAACACAAACACAAAGAGCCACAAGUUGUGACCAGUUAAACACCUUGAUUCUUCAACACUCAGAUUUGUUGUUACAUCUUUCUCUCUCUCAUAUACUGGAUCCUUCAUAUGGCUGUAGAUGCAGUUGCAUCUGUGGUUCUGGAGAAACUACAAGUGAUGCUAAGUGAUAAGUCCUUGUCGGGAAACAAGAUUAUCAGGCGUCGCCUCAAUCGGAUGCAGGAGAUCCUCGGCUUGGUUGGAGCUGCAAAUGAUCAAGAUAUCAACAAACUCUACCUGCCUAUCUCUACUCCAUCGAAGACUCCAUUGAGUCCUUCACCCGCCAGAGGAACAAGCUGGAGUUCCUCAUCAAUUAUGCUCUCCUCCUCAAAAAAAUCACAGCUCGCAAAAUGCUCGACUCCAAACUCUCCAAUAUUCAGACACAGGUUAUGAAGCUCAACAAUCGUACAAGCAGCCUUGAAAGCAUCAGCAGCACUCCAACAAACAGAGAUACAAGACCAGAGAUAAAACAGACUCCACUUUCUUCCAUUCAAGAAGAAACUCAAGGUCUCAAAUCAAGUAUGAAGCGUACAAUGAGCAGUCCCGCUGUUGGAAACAUACAAGAAAGGCCAACAGAUCUACGCAGGAACCAGUCCUUCAGAAUGCUCUCACGCAGUAAUGCCUCAAUGAUACGAGAAAGGUGGAAGCAUUCGAAGCUCAUGUAUAGUUACUCCUACAAUGAGGAAGAACUAUCCAUGGUCGGAUACCAAUGCAAGGUGAUAGAUCUCCGGCAUAGGCUGGAGAAAUCGGAUGACAGGAUAAUCCCCAUUGUAGGCGAACUGGGCUCAGGAAAGACAAUGCUGGCUCGUGCCAUCUAUGGCAACAGAAGCAUCAAAAACAUGUUCAAGCCUGCUGCUUGGGCAAACAUUUUCAAGGAAUCUAUGACGACGGAUAUCUUGCUGGCCUUGCUGAACCAAGUGAAGAAAUCGGAAGUGCAAGAUGGGAGCAAUGAGGAAUACCUCAAAAGCAGGCUCGUGCAGGAACUGACUGGUCGGAGAUACUUGGUGGUGUUGGAUGGAGUUCAGACUCGGGAGCAAUGGGACAGGCUUAAAGAUGCUUUCCCAGAUCAACAAAAUGGGAGCAAGAUAAUUCUUACCACUUUUGAUGAGCGAGUAGCAGAGCAUGCCGAUUCAAAGAGACAGGUGUAUAAUUUGGAGAAGCUGAACCCUGAAGAGAGCUGGAGUUUGUUCAUGAGAAAGGUGGGCUCACAAAAUGAUCCAGAAAAUUUUCUCAAGGAGAAAAUUAUUAAUGUUUGCCAGGGGCUGCCCUUGAAUAUUGUUCUUCUCGGCAGUCUGUUGUCGAUGAAGAGCAGAGGGGAGUGGUCCGAAACGCUCAAGAGCGACAAAGAAUGGCGAGCCUCAGACAUUAUGAAGUUGAGCUACAGUGAUCUGGAUCACCAUUUGAAACUGUGUCUCAUCUAUAUGACACUGUUUCCCAAAGAACUAGACAUUCCAGUGAGGAGGUUGCAACGCUUGUGGCUUGCUGAGGGAUUUGUAAAACCACAGAAACAUGGAGAGUUCCCAGAAGAUGCGGCGCAAGGGUAUUUCGAAAAUCUGGUCAAACGCAGCUUGAUAAUGGUGUCCAAACAACGCUCAGAUGGAAGCCCCAGAAGGUGCCGGUUGCAAGGCGCCCUCCACGACCUCUUGUUGGAGCAGGCGCGAGAUAUCCGCCUUUUCCACGUUCAUCCUGGAUCCGAUGAUAUGCGUAGGCUCAUCGAAUAUGCUGAUGCCCGAAUGUCCGCUUAGCCUUCCCAAAUUCAACAUGUGAGGUCUUACAUAUCUUUCAACCUACAGAAAAAGGAUACUCCAGCAAAGCAUGUGAGCUCUCUUGUAAGCAAAUGGGCAAAAGGCUGGCUGCUGAGGGUUCUUGAUCUUGAGGGAGUGUACAAGCCUAGUUUGCCUGAUAAUCUAGGCGACUUGUUUCAUUUGAGGUACUUGGGAUUGAGGUGGACUUUCUUGGACAAGCUUCCCAAAUCUGUAGGUCAACUCCCUCAUCUCCAAACAUUAGACCUGAAGCAUACAUGCAUAGACAAAAUCCCAACCACUGUUUGGAAACUGAAAAAUCUCCAGCAUCUCAAUCUUGAUGAAGUUCAUCUAGACAAGGAUACGCCUCUGCACUUCCCCGACCUCCUCACACUCUGGGGAUUAUCAGUCAGCCAUGAGGCCCCAAUCACAGAUGGUUUGAGCAAAUUGAAACACCUAAGAGAAUUAGGCAUUUCUUUACGCUUCAUCAAGCGCAGCGACGAUAUUGUCCAAGACAAAGGUCAAGCUACAGAAGCUUUGGUGAAGUGGAUUUCCGAGCUAACAGAUCUUCGAUCAUUGAGGUUGCGAUCCAAAGAUGAUUCUGGGAACCCUUCAAGUCUUAGUUUAAAGCCGUUUUCACGCUUGGGAAAACUCUCUCAUAUGAAGUUACUCGGGAAGUUGCAACAACUCCCUCGCGCGGAUCACUUCCCACCUCAUAUUAAAGUUCUCACAUUAUCAUUGUCUUUUCUGUCCGAAGAUCCCAUGCCGAUCCUUGGACAGCUCCCGGAUUUUAACAGUUUUGAGGCUGCUUGCUAACUCAUACCUUGGAGAGAAAAUGCUCUGCUCAGCUGACACUUUUAAGAAUCUUGAGGUUCUAAAACUCUGGGUGCUCGAAGAUCUCAAGGAAUGGGAAGUCGAAGACGGCGCAAUGAAGAAACUCAAAGAGGUCAACAUCAGAAGGUGUUCCAAACUGGAAAACUUCCCAAGCAGCUUGUUGAAGCAGGAAACUUUCCGAGAUUUGAUCUUAAACAACAUGCCCCCUGCAUUCAAGGAAAAAAUUGACAACAAUUAUCAGUUCAAGGUCUCCACCAAAGAUUUCCAACGACAUCUCAGAGCUCAAGAUUAGGAUGAUUGUCGACAACACUACCAGCCCAACCAAGGAAAACGAAGACCCACGUUGCACCAAGCCCACUCGAGUAACCAAACUUCCCACCAAGCUCAAGGAUUACACUUUAUGAUGAAAAAUAUCUAUUGGUCCCCCUCCUCCCUCUGAAAGUUGUUGUUAUGGCAGGCUAGCUGUCUUUUGUUUUUAGCUUAACCAAAGGCCUGUGUGCCAUUAAUAUGUCUUUCUACUCUAGUUUGCUUUCUCAAUCAAUGNACACUUUAUGAUGAAAAAUAUCUAUUGGUCCCCUCCUCCCUCUGAAAGUUGUUGUUAUGGCAGGCUAGCUGUCUUUUGUUUUUAGCUUAACCAAAGGCCUGUGUGCCAUUAAUAUGUCUCUACUCUAGUUUGCUUUCUCAAUCAAUGAAAAACUGAGUUGUUGUUCUGAAUUUCUCUGUGCUUUCUUUCUUUUGGGAGUCAGAGUUCACUCGAAGAACUCAUAUUUGAUUAAGAGUGUAUCAGAUUGUUUGAAGGAUGUAAUGUUAUUGAUUUAAUGAGUGUUUUAAAAAUCAUAUUGUUUGAAUGAAUUUUUUUCCACAAGAUAAAUGUAAUGAGUUCUACACAUAGUGAUUCCUUUUUAGUUUCUAUAAACUGAACUAAAAAACACAGUCCUAAAUUCAAGUUAGAGAAACAGUUAUUUUGUAUUCAGAAUUCAACUUUCAUCUAAUUUAUUGUGCACCACAUCAUAUGUGUGUGUGUAAGGUAAGGAUCAUAAGAUAUUGAACAGAGAAGAGGAUAUGGCUGUCGCUAAUAAACUCUAAUUCGCUGAUUGCUAUAAGAUAUAAGCCAUAUAACACCCACUGAACAAACAACUUUUCAGACUAACAAACUAAGACGCUUCCAUUAACAAAGGAGAGGUCUAAGAUUUCACAAAAUGCUCUCUUGUCCGCAAUCAAUCAAACAAACGAAAAUUAGAAGACUGUAAGAAAUGCACCAUACAUUACAGACAGCUACAUUAAAUGAUUCUAUCAAACAGCUGGUGUGUGCAAUGUUUGUAUAUUUAGUUUUUCACAUAUGUUAUGCAACUAGAAGUUCAUGUUUAUUUUAAUGGAAUUACCUCUCAGUUGACAAAUAAUUAACACAACAUAAAAUGAAUAUGUUUUAAAUCUCAAGUCUUUGGAUCAAUCGACAUGCAUUUUAUCUUAAAAGUUCAUGUUUAUUAGGCAAACGCAACCUAAUGAAAUAGCUGGCAAAUUUGACAUACAUGUCUUUUCACCUUUGUCUCGAUCAGUUCAUCUUUUUUUUUUCAUUCACUUUUUAUUUAUCCGUGGAGAUAGGCAGAAUAUGUCAAAAUCUCUUAUAGAGAGGUGAGAUUUUUUGAUAGGUUUCAUAUUUAUAUUUGUAUAAUAAAAUCCUACAAAUUUUCAAUAUCACUAAAUUUUGAUGGAUAUUUAAGAGUCAUAAUUGAAUACCAACAAAUUUUUAAGGACUUUCUAAAAUCUAAAUUGAAUACCUAUAAACUUUUGAAAUACAAAAAAAAUCUUUUAAAUUCUGAAUUGAAUACACCCCUAAAUGCGAGCUGUACUCACGAUCACAAAUGACCUCGACAUAAAUACGUAGUAUAUCAAAAUAAUUAUAAAAUUAAAAUAAAAAUGUUAUGUUUGUAAAGUGUGCAAUCUUUAAGUAUUUAUUUUUUACCUCAUCCCAUUAACAAAUUUUGAAUGAAGAUGAACCAAAUCGAGUAUUUAUUCCAUAAAUAUGCAAAUAAAUUACUACAAAGCAAAUGAUGUAGAAUAAGAUGAGCAGUUAUUGAUUGCAUAUGAAUGGUAAUAAAUCAGGGCCAAGUAAAUCGUUUGACCCAUUUAAUGGGAGGAUUCUCUCCCGAAAAAUAGAUACCGUCGCUUCUAGCAGUCCAAUAGCAAGUAAAAGACGUGCAAUCCAAUCGCGACCUCGAUUUAUAGACAUCCACGCUCACGUAUUUUGAGUUCCAUGUAAAUCCGCAAUGAAACAAAGUUUUGUGGAAAAAGUUUCGCAGAAUUGGAAUUUGUAAUAAUUUUGGCGUAGAGCGUAUGAUUUCCGAGGUCGUCGUCUUUAGAGGCACAAUGCAGCAGCAGUUUACUGNCCAAACAACGCUCAGAUGGAAGCCCCAGAAGGUGCCGGUUGCAAGGCGCCCUCCACGACCUCUUGUUGGAGCAGGCGCGAGAGAUCCGCCUUUUCCACGUUCAUCCUGGAUCCGAUGAUAUGCGUAGGCUCAUCGAAUAUGCUGAUGCCCGCAAUGCUCCGCUUCAGCCUUCCCAAAUUCAACAUGUGAGGUCUUACAUAUCUUUCAACCUACAGAAAAAGGAUACUCCAGCAAAGCAUGUGAGCUCUCUUGUAAGCAACAUGGGCAAAAGGCUGGGCCUGCUGAGGGUUCUUGAUCUUGAGGGAGUGUACAAGCCUAGUUUGCCUGAUAAUCUAGGCGACUUGUUUCAUUUGAGGUACUUGGGAUUGAGGUGGACUUUCUUGGACAAGCUUCCCAAAUCUGUAGGUCAACUCCCUCAUCUCCAAACAUUAGACCUGAAGCAUACAUGCAUAGACAAAAUCCCAACCACUGUUUGGAAACUGAAAAAUCUCCAGCAUCUCAAUCUUGAUGAAGUUCAUCUAGACAAGGAUACGCCUCUGCACUUCCCCGACCUCCUCACACUCUGGGGAUUAUCAGUCAGCCAUGAGGCCCCAAUCACAGAUGGUUUGAGCAAAUUGAAACACCUAAGAGAAUUAGGCAUUUCUUUACGCUUCAUCAAGCGCAGCGACGAUAUUGUCCAAGACAAAGGUCAAGCUACAGAAGCUUUGGUGAAGUGGAUUUCCGAGCUAACAGAUCUUCGAUCAUUGAGGUUGCGAUCCAAAGAUGAUUCUGGGAACCCUUCAAGUCUUAGUUUAAAGCCGUUUUCACGCUUGGGAAAACUCUCUCAUAUGAAGUUACUCGGGAAGUUGCAACAACUCCCUCGCGCGGAUCACUUCCCACCUCAUAUUAAAGUUCUCACAUUAUCAUUGUCUUUUCUGUCCGAAGAUCCCAUGCCGAUCCUUGGACAGCUCCCGGAUUUAACAGUUUUGAGGCUGCUUGCUAACUCAUACCUUGGAGAGAAAAUGCUCUGCUCAGCUGACACUUUUAAGAAUCUUGAGGUUCUAAAACUCUGGGUGCUCGAAGAUCUCAAGGAAUGGGAAGUCGAAGACGGCGCAAUGAAGAAACUCAAAGAGGUCAACAUCAGAAGGUGUUCCAAACUGGAAAACUUCCCAAGCAGCUUGUUGAAGCAGGAAACUUUCCGAGAUUUGAUCUUAAACAACAUGCCCCCUGCAUUCAAGGAAAAAAUUGACAACAAUUAUCAGUUCAAGGUCUCCACCAAAGAUUUCCAACGACAUCUCAGAGCUCAAGAUUAGGAUGAUUGUCGACAACACUACCAGCCCAACCAAGGAAAACGAAGACCCACGUUGCACCAAGCCCACUCGAGUAACCAAACUUCCCACCAAGCUCAAGGAUUACACUUUAUGAUGAAAAAUAUCUAUUGGUCCCCUCCUCCCUCUGAAAGUUGUUGUUAUGGCAGGCUAGCUGUCUUUUGUUUUUAGCUUAACCAAAGGCCUGUGUGCCAUUAAUAUGUCUCUACUCUAGUUUGCUUUCUCAAUCAAUGAAAAUCGAGUAUUUAUUCCAUAAAUAUGCAAAUAAAUUACUACAAAGCAAAUGAUGUAGAAUAAGAUGAGCAGUUAUUGAUUGCA
rnacentral:lncRNA from 1 species